UUAAUUUGACCCAUUUAUAAAUGUGCUCACAUAUUAAUUUUAUUUAAAGACGAGUAAGGUGAAACAUGAGUGUUUCUAUUAAUAUUAAAUACUUAUCAAAAUAGUUUUGAACCAACAUUUCUAUGCUAUUAUUAGUCCGUGUAUAAUGGCUAUAAUGGUUCACUUUUAAAUUCUUUUGAACUCCUUAGCUUCAUUAAAU
rnacentral:lncRNA from 1 species